rnacentral:rRNA from 1 species
CCUACGGGUGGCAGCAGUGGGGGAUAUUGCACAAUGGGGGAAACCCUGAUGCAGCGACGUCGCGUGGGUGAAGAAGCGCCUCGGCGCGUAAAGCCCUGUCAGCAGGGAAGAAAAUGACGGUACCUGAAGAAGAAGCCACGGCUAACUACGUGACAGCAGCCGCGGUAAUACGUAGGGGGCAAGCGUUAUACGGAUUUACUGGGUGUAAAGGGGGCGCAGACGGCGAUGCAAGCCAGGAGUGAAAGCCCGGGGCCCAACCCCGGGACUGCUCUUGGAACUGCGUGGCUAGAGUGCAGUCGGGGCAGGCGGAAUUCCUGGUGUAGCGGUGAAAUGCGUAGAUAUCAGGAGGAACACCGGUUGCGAAGGCGGCCUGCUGGACUGCAACUGACGUUGAGGCCCGAAAGCGUGGGGAGCAAACAGGAUUAGAUACCCUAGUAGUC